AAUAUGGCAGGAGAUUUUAAUACAGAUGAGGGUCCAUCUACCUCCACACAGAAUCUUAGCAGUUUGCCUGCCAAAAAGCUGUAUAAGGUCCACCUUUAAAAGCAAAUCAGAAAAAGUGACAUGGAGAUGGACCUUAUACAGCUUCAAAUGGAGGAGAAAAGGCUUAACCUAAAAAAGGCCAGACUUGAAAUUGAAUUGCUGGAGCACCAGCUUAAGGAAAUAAAGAAACAAUGAACAACACUUGACUGUUAACUGGUUUUAAUUAAAGUGAUUUUGGCAAAUCA